CAAUAUGGAGGCUUUUUACAGCAGAUUCCGGUACAGAGUCCAUAUGGAGGCUAUUUACAGCAGUUUCCGGUACAGAGUCAAUAUGGAGGCUAUAUACAGCAGGUUCCGGUACAGAGUCAAUAUGGAGGCUAUAUACAGCAGGUUCCGGUACAGAGUCUAUUUGGAGGCUAUAUACAGCAGCAGAUUCCGGUACAGAGUCAAUAUGGAGGCUAUAUACAGCAGGUUCCGGUACAGAGUCAAUAUGGAGGCUAUAUACAGCAGGUUCCGGUACAGAGUCAAUAUGGAGGCUAUAUACAGCAGAUUCCGGUACAGAGUCAAUAUGGAGGCUAUAUACAGCAGGUUCCGGUACAGAGUCAAUAUGGAGGCUAUAUACAGCAGGUUCUGGUACAGAGUCAAUAUGGAGGCUAUAUACAGCAGGUUCCAGUACAGAUUCAAUAUGGCUAUAUAUAGCAGGUUCCGAUACAGAGUCAAUAUGGAGGCUAUAUACAGCAGGUUCCGGUACAGAGUCAAUAUGGAGGCUAUAUACAGCAGAUUCCGGUACAGAGUCAAUAUGGAGGCUAUAUACAGCAGAUUCCGGUACAGAGUCAAUAUGGAGGCUAUAUGCAGCAGAUUCUGGGAAAGAAUCAAUAUGUAGGCUAUAUACAGCAGGUUCCAGUACAGUCAAUAUGGCUAUAUACAGCAGGUUCCGGUACAGAGUCAAUAUGGAGGCUAUAUGCAGCAGAUUCCGGUACAGAGUCAAUAUGGAGGCUAUAUACAGCAGGUUCCGGUACAGAGUCAAUAUGGAGGCUAUAUACAGCAGGUUCCAGUACAGAGUCAAUAUGGAGGCUAUAUGCAGCAGAGUCCGGUACAGAGUAAAUAUGCAGGCUAUAUACAGCAGGUUCUGAUACAGAGUCAAUAUGCGGGGGCACCG
ensembl:lncRNA